rnacentral:lncRNA from 1 species
GACAUGGUGAAAAUCAAUCCCACAGUAGAGUCUUUUCUAUUUAUUGUUGCUUAGACACUAAUUCAUGAAUUAUACUUUGAAAUUUGCACAUCACACCAACAUGGUUUUUGGGGAAUGAGAUUGGAAUACUUACUUUUUGUCCAAGUGUGUUUUAAUUUCUGUUCAAUAUAAAUAAAGUUAGUAUGUGUUAUAAAGUAAUAAUUGCCUCACCCGAAACUUUGCUAGUAACCGAGCCAGUCCUGCCUAAUCAGCAGUGAUUCUCGAGACAAAAGGUAGAGUUUUGGCAUGAGGCAGGGUGGUUAGUUGGUUUCGUAGCCUUUUCAGCUUGAGUUAAUAAGUCCUUAGGGGUGUUCUACACCUAGUGCCCUAAAACCCGAGUGGUUUGGGAGACAUUGACCUAAGUCUCGCUACACGGUUGGAUCGAAAGCUUAAAGGAACCAACAUUGCACAACCACUACUGUUACUAUUUAUACACCAAAAAAAAAAAAAAAAAGAAGAAAAAAAAAAAGAAGAAGAAAGGGAAAAUAAAAAGUGUGGAGUGUGUGAAGUAUGAAUAAAAGGGAUGAGUGGUAAGGGUUUUAGUCAAGUCUCCAUAACCAUGAUGGUUCACUUUACACCGAAGGAAGUUUGUGAAUUCUUUUCUAAUUGAGUCUAAAUAGCUCAGACUCUGUGGUGGGAUUACUUGGAUCUAUUGAAAGGAUGUUCUAGUUUUUAAAAUUUUCUAUGGAUUGCAACUUGAAGAUGGAAAUUUUGUCCUGGUUAAGUGUUAGCCAGAUGUCUAGUCUGUUAAGUUUUUAUUUUUUGUUUGAGUCUUGUUUCGCUUGAGGACAAGCAAAAGCUAAGUUUGGGGGUAUUUUGAUGGACAUAUUUUAUAUUAUAUAUUUAACCUCAUUCUUAGUAUAUUUUGGUUAAUAUUUUGGAAGAAUUUUGAUACUUUGAAUUAUAUUUUCAAUAUAGGACUUUCGACUCUCUCUGGAGCAAAACAUAAUCAAAUUGAGGAAUUUUGGAGUAAUUCCAGUUGGAGGACGUUCUUGAGUCACUUAGCUUGAUCGUAUCAAAAUUUCAGAUUUUUCUUCCAAGCGGUUAUUUUCUGGCAAUAAAAUAAAGGAGCAGUGCGCGGUGCUGGAAUAGUGACGUGUUGGGCUUUUAUUGCGUUUUUGGAGCCCAAGAUGACCUCGGAUGGGUUCGUGGCCUUCUAGAGAAGUGUUCAGAACAUUUUUAUCUUUAAAACAAGCUCUCUUGGGCCAGAUUUGGAGGAGAUUUGGGGCCAAAACGUGGCUGGGCAGAUUUUAGGCAGAUUCUCCUAUUCCAAUUUGGACUUUAUUUCCUAGUAUUAUUUUAUUUUAAUUAGUUUCCUUGUGGGGAUAGAAAAGUUGUACAUUGGCAGCUAGGUUUUAAGGGGUAUUUAAGCUCUUUCUCACAGGGAAUUGAGGACUUCUGAAUUACUUUUGAACUUUGUAUUGUGGAGAGCAAUUGCUAGGGUUUUGGGUUUUCACAACUUUCAGGUGUUUUCGUUCUUUUCUUCUUAAUGAUAUUUUCUUGGAUUUCAAUUAUGAGUAUGCGUAACUAAAUUUCUUUUGCUAGGGUGAAGCCUUGAACCUUAGCAUGAAUAUGUGAUUUUUAUUUAAUUGCUUAUGAUGAGUGCAUGCGUAUUUUGAAUUGUUAAUCACUGUUUUAAACUAUCUAAUUGUCUUAAUGCCUGAUCACCAUUAGGAUCUUUAGAAAAGUAAUUGGAUGCAAUUUUGGUCGGAAGGUUCCCUGAAAUUGAUGCUAGCUUCUUGUGAUUAAUAAUUGUAAUUUCACUUAAGAUGAACACCACGUCUUAAGGGUUGCAUGGUUUUUCAAAGGGUUUUCACAAAACUUAAUGAGUCUUUCAUGUUCAGAUUUGAUCCGAACGUCCGGACGGGUUGCAUGUUGGAUAUACGUUCUGUGUUGGAGGUUCCAAGUAGAAUAUACAUUAGGAAAACCUAACCUUCAAAGUGGCAUGUGCAAAUCAUAAGUAAUUGGUAAAAGUUCAUAGAAUUGCUAGGUGAUGGUCAAACCCUAGUGUUUUUAUAAAUUGAUAUUCAAAACUCUUUCUCUCAAUCGUAUUUGUUUUUGUUUAAUAUUUGUUUUUUAGAAUCCACCAAAUUUAUAAUCAUCUUUCUUGACUUUUUAUUUUAAGUAGUAAUUGGAAUUUGUUUUUACAUAAAUUGCUAAUUAGUCCUUGAGGAAAACGACCUUGCAUGAGCAUCUAUACUACAAUAGCCUUGUAUUCUUGCAAGUAUUUUAUGUGAUUUUUAACAUUGUUUGCACAAGUACUAAAAAUCCUAUCAACCACUCUCUCUCUCUCUCUCUCAGUAAAGGUUACAGUUUUCAAUCUAGACAGUUGAUUAAGAAGGAAGGAAGGAAGAAGAAGAGAGGAAGAAAGGAAAAAAAAAAAGGGAUGGCCUAGGAAAUUGGGAAGGAAGAAGAAAAUAGGAAGAAAGAAAAGAAAAAAAGAAAAAAAGAAAAAAAAGAAAGGUGGGGAUGGGAAGGAAAGUAAGAAGAAAAGGAGAAAAAAGAGGAAAAAAGAGAAGAAAAGAUAAGAUAGUUUUAGCAAUCUUUAAUUAAAAUUAAAUAUUAGAAUUUUAUUUUUAUAAUUAAAAUUAAAUACUAAAAUAAUUAUUUUUUAGUCCGAUACAACACAAAACAUAGGUUUUCACCAUUUUUACAAUCCAGCUUUUUAGUCCGACGCAGCAUCAAACGUAAGUCAGUACUUAAUCCAGCUUAGGCCAAUUCGAGCUAAUCCAAGACAGUCCCAGGAUUUAGUCCAAUCCAUGACAGUCUGCCGUACCAAACGACCCCAAAAAAUUGUCUAAAUCCUUUCAGUGGCCUGGAAUGGAAAAAAAAGAAAAAAGAAAAAAAAGGAGGAUAUCGUAACUAUGGUAGUAGAAUGUCCCACUUGACAGCAGCACAAAUAUUGAGACUUUGGCCUCCUGGUUUCUCCUCAGUGGCUCAUUCAAGUCUCAUGGAAUUCCUUGUUCUACAAUCAUUUGUGAUCGUGAUCAUGUUUUCAUCAGUGAUUUUUGGAUGAAAUUUUUUGCUUUACAGGAUUCUAAGUUGUGCCUGAGUUCCAGAUACGAUCCACAAACGGAUGGGCAAACUGAAGUGGUUAAUAGAUGCCUGAAAACCUAUUUGAGAGGUUUUGUAGUUUUCAGCCUAAGCAAUGGCUAAAAAGGUUGCCUUAGGCUGAAUGGAGCUACAACACUUCCUAUCAUUCUUUUGCCAAAACUGCUCCUUGUGAGAUUGUUAUGGACAACCACCUCCUGCUCUUCUUGUGUAUGAAUCUUUCUGGAACUACAAUGCUUGAUGUAUUGCACAGAAGCUUACAUGCUAGGAAUCUGCUCAGGUUUGUUCCAUUUCAGCAUAUGUCCUUAUCCAACUAUUCAUUCCACAAGCUUGCCCCAUUUGAAAGUGUUAGCUCAGCUGCCAACACAACCGUAUGGACUAAAUUACAGGUCUUAAGAAGAACAAAUGAAUUGCACGUUAUGCAGUACGAAGAUAUGAGUCUCUUUACCGACAUGUAUCGAGAUCCUGCAGCUCAUAGCUAUACUUCCACCAAACAUGCCUUCUUCACCAUCAGUCUCAAGGACUGUUAGCCAAUGCGAGGUUUGUUUUCAGCACAAAGGUCUCUAAUCUGUUUAGUUCAAUAGUGAUUCUAAGUUUUUUUUUUCUUUCUAAUCUGAUUAUUUCAUUGGGACUGCUUGAAGACGCUUGUAAGUUCAUUCUGUAUCUAGAUUUAACUAUUUGUGCUAAGUAUCUAUUUAAUUAUGUAAACUCUAAGAAUUCGAUACGAAUUUGAUUUUCCUUUUCGAUUGUAUGAAGUAAAUAAAUGUUAAUGCAUAUGAUACCUUUCACUGAACAUAUUGGAAACUAAUAGGUCACACCUGAGAAAAAAAUGUUUUCGUUUCAAAUACAAAUCAAUCUCUUAUUAAACAGACAAAAUAAAAAACAAAAGGAAAAACGGAUCAGCUAGCGAUACAGACUACAAACUAGGUAGUCUGUACGCUAACUGAUCGCUAUAUGCCAGCCGAAUUUCCAAUGAGGGUUCAUAUUCCAAUAAAAAAUUAAAUUCAAUCCUGAGGAAACUAUUUGGCCAUAGACAGGGUUCUGGUUGAAACGCAAUCCAUAUCUGCAAAUUGAAUCUUCAAUUAGAGAUGCUUGAUGCCCAGCUAACCAACAUCAGCAGUAGAACGGCAACACAAGAUGAGCAAGUUCCAACUUCAGUAUUAUAGAAUAGACUCUACAGAAGCCUGAGCUACUAGAAGUCCAAGUCAGCUCCUAACUAAUCUUAUCUGAUGUCGAAGAAUCCUAAAUCCUUACUCUACUAUAUAAAGACAAGUCUCAUACUAGACAUUAUAAAGAGAAGUGCCAUACUGAUCCCUCCUCUCUUGCAUUUUCAUUCAAGGUUUAGUUUUUUUCAUCAAUAAUUGUUAUCAGGAUAACAUCCAAUGCAGCUUGCGAAAAACCUUUUUACUUUAAUGAUGAAAUAAAUAAAUAAAUCGACCGGACGACCUAAAAACAUCACGAAUACCACAGAAAGACACCCCUGCUUUUUCUGCUAAACAGCAAUCCAUAUUUCCAUCUGUUUUUAUUUUUAUUUAUUUUUUCUUUCUACCUACCCUGUGACCAUUUUUGGUUUGGACCACUGGAUCUGGAUAAUAACACAUGUGGUUUGAACCUCUGAGCUUAACAUCUGAAUCUCCGUGAACAAUAUCCAACUUCUAUCUUUGCAUCUGCGCAUCUCAGCUUCAAUCUGUUGAAAACUAUUUAUAUAGUCAGCCCUUCUCUUUCUGCAGUGUAUAAGCGCACACACCCACAAAUACACAAUAACAGAAACCCAUCAAACAUAAACUUCUUUUAAAUGACAAGAACAACAUCAACUAUUUGAAUUUAACACUUCUCUAUCAACACAGUUGAACAAGUUGACAAAAGAUAGUCUGGAAGAGAGAAAAGAUAUAGGAAGACAUAUAUAAAUAAAGUAACCGAUGAACGUUUUUUUGGUAAAAUUUUGGAUAUACUUUUCUUUCGAAGAAUAUUAUUUGAAAAUAUUAUCUCUCAGAUCUCGCCCCAAAAGAAUUGCCAAAACAUCAUUCCAGUAUUAAGUCAAGGAACAGAACAACAAAUAGCAUAGAGAAUCAUGGAUUUCCUCGGAAUUGUUUUUAAAAUAGAAAAUGCACAAGUUUGCAAUCC